AGAGUUUGAUCCUGGCUCAGAAUCAACGCUGGCGGCGUGCCUAACACAUGCAAGUCGAACGCGGUUAUCCAGCAAUGGAUAACUGAGUGGCGAACGGGUGAGUAACACGUGGGUGACCUACCUUCGAGUGGGGGAUAACGUCCCGAAAGGGACGCUAAUACCGCAUAACAUCCUGCCUUUGAACAGGCGGUGAUCAAAGCCGGGGACCGUAAGGCCCGGCGCUUGAUGAGGGGCUCGCGUCUGAUUAGCUAGUUGGUGAGGUAACGGCCCACCAAGGCGACGAUCAGUAUCCGGUCUGAGAGGGCGGACGGACACACUGGGACUGAGACACGGCCCAGACUCCUACGGGAGGCAGCAGUGGGGAAUUGUUCACAAUGGGCGCAAGCCUGAUGACGCAACGCCGCGUGGAGGAUGGAGGUCUUCGGAUUGUAAACUCCUGUUGCCCGGGACGAAAAGCUCUGACCUAACACGUCGGAGUCUGACGGUACCGGGUGAGGAAGCCCCGGCUAACUCUGUGCCAGCAGCCGCGGUAAU
rnacentral:rRNA from 1 species